rnacentral:tRNA from 1 species
GUGUGGCUCAGUGGUAGAGCACUUGCCUAGCAAGUUGAAGCCCUGGGUUUGAUCCUCAGCAC